GACGAACGCUGGCGGCGUGCUUAACACAUGCAAGUCGAACGGAAAGGCCCUGCUUUUGUGGGGUGCUCGAGUGGCGAACGGGUGAGUAACACGUGAGUAACCUGCCCUUGACUUUGGGAUAACUUCAGGAAACUGGGGCUAAUACCGGAUAGGAGCUCCUGCUGCAUGGUGGGGGUUGGAAAGUUUCGGCGGUUGGGGAUGGACUCGCGGCUUAUCAGCUUGUUGGUGGGGUAGUGGCUUACCCAGGCUUUGACGGGUAGCCGGCCUGAGAGGGUGACCGGCCACAUUGGGACUGAGAUACGGCCCAGACUCCUACGGGAGGCAGCAGUUGGGAAUAGUGCACAAUGGGCGGAAGCCUGACGCAGCAACGCCGCGUGCGGGAUGACGGCCUUCGGGUUGUAAACCGCUUUCGCCUGUGACGAAGCGUGAGUGACGGUAAUGGGUAAAGAAGCACCGGCUAACUACGUG
rnacentral:rRNA from 1 species